rnacentral:tRNA from 1 species
ACAUUGGUGGUUCAGUGGCAGAAUUCUCGCCUUCCAUGCGGGAGACCCGGGUUCCAUUCCCAGCAAAUGUA